AUUGAACGCCGGCGGCAGGCCUAACACAUGCAAGUCGAGCGGAUGAAGGGAGCUUGCUCCUGGAUUCAGCGGCGGACGGGUGAGUAAUGCCUAGGAAUCUGCCUGGUAGUGGGGGAUAACGUCCGGAAACGGGCGCUAAUACCGCAUACGUCCUGAGGGAGAAAGUGGGGGAUCUUCGGACCUCACGCUAUCAGAUGAGCCUAGGUCGGAUUAGCUAGUUGGUGGGGUAAAGGCCUACCAAGGCGACGAUCCGUAACUGGUCUGAGGGGAUGAUCAGUCACACUGGAACUGAGACACGGUCCAGACUCCUACGGGAGGCAGCAGUGGGGAAUAUUGGACAAAGGGCGAAAGCCUGAUCCAGCCAUGCCGCGUGUGUGAAGAAGGUCUUCGGAUUGUAAAGCACUUUAAGUUGGGAGGAAGGGCAGUAAGUUAAUACCUUGCUGUUUUGACGUUACCAACAGAAUAAGCACCGGCUAACUUCGUG
rnacentral:rRNA from 1 species